UAAUGACUCGUCAGUUAUGAGGACGGUAUUGCGCCGCGGUUGUUGACCAUGAACUACAUUUCCCAGACUGCAUCUCUCACAGGAAGUCGCUUCUCGUCACCGGGCAGUCAAAACUCGGUCUGUUUAUGUUUUGUUGGAUAAACUUCGCUAUAAUUGAGGUUUAAAACUCGAGUGUCUCUUCAUUAAUAACCAGUUACGACUGAAUUCACAUCUGUAGAAAACCCAAGCAACAAAACUGGCACCUCCGCUACCAGUCACCAUGCCUGCCCUGCUGGAGAGACCGAAGCUGUCCAACGCGAUGGCACGAGCGCUCCAUAAACACAUCAUGAGGGAGAGGGAGCGCAAGAGACAAGAGGAGGAAGAGGUAGACAAAAUGAUGGAGCAGAAGAUGAAGGAGGAGGAAGAGCGGAAGAGGACAAAAGAAAUAGAAGAGAGAAUGUCAUUGGAGGAAACCAAAGAACAGGUGAUGAAGAUGGGAGAGAAGCUUCAGGGACUUCAGGAGGAGAAGCAUCAACUGUUCUUGCAGCUGAAGAAAGUUCUCCAUGAGGAGGAAAAGAGGCGCAGAAAAGAGCAGAGCGACAUUACAACUUUGACGUCAGCAAGCUACCAACCCACUCUCCCCAUGCACGCCGGACAGCACCUGCUCAGCAUUCAAGGCAAUCCAGUCAGCCACAGUCGGACCGGUGCUCUUCUUGGAGAACGAAGCAAGCAGCUGUUCCCUACUGCUGUGAUUCCUACUCGUCACUACCAGACUCCUGGGUUCACGCCGGGCUCAGCUGAGCAUGGCCAGUUCAGUGGUGGGCAGGGUGUCCAUGAGCCCUAUGGGGUUCAGGCCCAGCAUCCCUCCAGCUACGCCCCCGGGCCUUCAGUGCCAGUCAGUUUUGCCAGCAGCUCUCAGAUCAGAGGUAUGGUGGUAUCGAGACUUACGACCACGGCCAGCAGAUGCUUAUGUUUGUUUUAUUCAAUGUCUGACACCGCAACACGCAGCACCCGGCAAUGCAUGCGACAGUUAUGGCAGGACAUAAUCCCAGCAUCUCACACAGUGAUCUACCACUACAGUAGUACAUAUAACCCUGGCAUCUGCUAUUUUGAAUGGCAUUCGACUUACGUUCAAUCUGAGUUACCACCGGUUGGUCGGAACCGAAAAUGGUUGUAAGUUGGAUGUUACUUGUACUGGGAACAUGUGCUAACAUCUGAUAUUAUCGGACAUCUCUACGAAACAAUCACAGACUCUGAUGGUGUAAGUAGCAGCUUUAAGAGAUUCACGACCUUCGUCCACCACCUCUUCCAUCAGUGACACUCUUCUUUCAGGUGCCUCCGCCUUCCAGGCCAUGCAGUAUCUUCCCCACCAGCAGUCGGGUUACCCAGUCCACAGCCACUUCACCUCUCAGCCUGGCUACAUCCCUGGUGCUGGCAUCCCUCUUCAGAAGCAGCUGGAACAUGCCAACCAACAGUCUGGUUUCACUGAU